GAUGAACGCUGGCGGCGUGCCUAAUACAUGCGAGUCGAACGCUGGAAAUCUAGCUUGCUAGAUUGAAGGAGUGGCGAACGGGUGAGUAAUACAUAAGCAACCUACCCACGAAGACUGGGAUAAUCUCUGGAAACGGGGACUAAUACCGGAUAGGUAAUCGGAAGGCAUCUUCUGAUUAUUAAAGGUUAAAAACACUGGUGGAUGGGCUUAUGGCGCAUUAGUUAGUUGGUGAGGUAACGGCCCACCGAGACGAUGAUGCGUAGCCGGCCUGAGAGGGUGAACGGCCACAUUGGGACUGAGACACGGCCCAGACUCCUACGGGAGGCAGCAGUAGGGAAUUUUCGGCAAUGGGGGAAACCCUGACCGAGCAACGCCGCGUGAGUGAUGACGGCCUUCGGGUUGUAAAGCUCUGUUGUAAGGGAAGAACGGUAUAUAGAGAAUAUCUAAAUGACGGUACCUUACCAGAAAGCCACGGCUAACUACGUG
rnacentral:rRNA from 1 species